GAUGAACGCUCGCUGUGUGCCUAAUACAUGCAUGUUGAACGGGAUGUAGCAAUACAUUCAGUAGCGAAUGGGUGAGUAACACGUACCUAACCUACCUUUAAGACUGGGAUAACUAUUGGAAACAAUAGCUAAUACCGGAUAUAGUUAUUUAUCGCAUGAUGAGUAAUAGAAAGGAGCUUCACAGCUUCACUUAAAAAUGGGGGUGCGGAACAUUAGUUAGUUGGUAGGGUAAUGGCCUACCAAGACGAUGAUGUUUAGCCGGGCCGAGAGGCUGUACGGCCACACUGGGACUGAGAUACGGCCCAGACUCCUACGGGAGGCAGCAGUAAGGAAUUUUCCACAAUGAGCGAAAGCUUGACGGAGCGACACAGCGUGCAGGAUGAAGUUCUUCGGAAUGUAAACUGCUGUUAUAAGGGAAGAAAAAAUAGAAUAGGAAAUGAUUUUAUCUUGACGGUACCUUAUUAGAAAGCGACGGCAAACUAUGUGCCAGCAGCUGCGGUAAUACAUAGGUCGCAAGCGUUAUCCGGAAUUAUUGGGCGUAAAGCGUCCGUAGGUUUUUUGCUAAGUCUGGAGUUAAAUGCUGAAGCUCAACUUCAGUCCGCUUUGGAUACUGGCAAAAUAGAAUUAUAAAGAGGUUAGCGGAAUUCCUAGUGAAGCGGUGGAAUGCGUAGAUAUUAGGAAGAACACCAAUAGGCGAAGGCAGCUAACUGGUUAUAUAUUGACACUAAGGGACGAAAGCGUGGGGAGCAAACGGG
rnacentral:rRNA from 1 species